AUUGAGCGCUGGCGGCAUGCCUUACACAUGCAAGUCGAACGGUAACGGGCCUUCGGGUGCCGACGAGUGGCGAACGGGUGAGUAAUGUAUCGGAACGUACCUUUCAGUGGGGGAUAACGUAGCGACAGUUACGCUAAUACCGCAUAUUCUGUUAGCCGGAAAGCAGGGGAUCGCAAGACCUUGCGCUGAUUGAGCGGCCGAUAGCAGAUUAGCUAGUUGGUGAGGUAAAGGCUCACCAAGGCGACGAUCUGUAGCGGGUCUGAGAGGAUGAUCCGCCACACUGGAACUGAGACACGGUCCAGACUCCUACGGGAGGCAGCAGUGGGGAAUUUUGGACAAUGGGGGCAACCCUGAUCCAGCCAUGCCGCGUGAGUGUAGAAGGCCUUCGGGUUGUAAAGCUCUUUCGGCCGGGAAGAAAUCGUAUCAGCUAAUACCUGGUGCGGAUGACGGUACCGGCAUAAGAAGCACCGGCUAACUACGUGCCAGCCGCCGCAGUAAGAC
rnacentral:rRNA from 1 species